rnacentral:lncRNA from 1 species
CGAUUUUACGUUCUCACAAAAAAAAGUUGAUAGGUUGUUUAAUAUCGAACCAACGUGAAUCAAAAGUCAACGAUAUGAUUAGUUCUCACUAACAAAAUUUGGUCUAUUAAAAUUCCAACUUGAUAAAGGGAUGAAUCUUAGAGUCGCUGAUUAAUACGGUUCGUAGAUUAAAAAUCUUUAAGCUACUUCGGGUUAUUGGCUUCCUUAUGUUAUUUCCUUUACGUUUAACUACCACAUUACAAACAAAUGAAAAAGAUUGAUUGAAACCGUGUAUCACUUUACUCCAUUUCCUAUGUAUCUCUAAUGGCAUCUCCAACUCCACUAUAUU